rnacentral:lncRNA from 1 species
GGGUAAUCACAACACAAAGUGGGUAAGUAUUUCCAUUAGUUAUUAAACUAGGGUUUAUCGAACCAAUAGGAAUAUCAAUCCACAGCCGUCUGCAACAACUACACACAAAAGAACAAACAACUUGCACCGAAUGCGGACAAGAUAGUUGUCAAUCCCCUUGGUGUUAUUAUUUGCAAGCAAAUGAGGUGUGCAGAUAAUUG